rnacentral:rRNA from 1 species
CCUACGGGAGGCAGCAGUGGGGAAUAUUGGGCAAUGGGCGAAAGCCUGACCCAGCCACGCCGCGUGAGUGAUGAAGGCCUUCGGGUCGUAAAGCUCUGUGGGGAGGGACGCGGUACCUCCUUAGCAAGCACCGGCUAACCCUGUGCCAGCAGCCGCGGUAAUACAGGGGGUGCAAACGUUGCUCGGAAUUAUUGGGCGUAAAGCGCGCGUAGGCGGCUACCUAAGUCGGAUGUGAAAGCCCCUGGCUCAACUGGGGAAGUGCACCCGAAACUGGGUAGCUUGAGUGCAAAAGAGGAUCGCGGAAUUCCCGGUGUAGAGGUGAAAUUCGUAGAUAUCGGGAGGAACACCGGUGGCGAAGGCGGCGAUCUGGUUACACUGACGCUGAGGCGCGAAAGCGUGGGGAGCAAACAGGAUUAGAUACCCUUGUAGUC